CUGGGCCAUUACUGACGCUGAGGAGCGAAAGCGUGGGGAGCGAACAGGAUUAGAUACCCUGGUAGUCCACGCCGUAAACGUUGGGAACUAGGUGUUGGCGACAUUCCACGUCGUCGGUGCCGCAGCUAACGCAUUAAGUUCCCCGCCUGGGGAGUACGGCCGCAAGGCUAAAACUCAAAGGAAUUGACGGGGGCCCGCACAAGCGGCGGAGCAUGUGGCUUAAUUCGACGCAACGCGAAGAACCUUACCAAGGCUUGACAUAUACCGGAAAGCAUUAGAGAUAGUGCCCCCCUUGUGGUCGGUAUACAGGUGGUGCAUGGCU
rnacentral:rRNA from 1 species